rnacentral:rRNA from 1 species
CACCUACGGGUGGCUGCAGUAGGGAAUCUUGGACAAUGGGCGCAAGCCUGAUCCAGCCAUGCCGCGUGGGCGAGGAAGGUCUUCGGAUCGUAAAGCCCUUUUCUCGGGGAAGAACCGCUUCCGUAGGAAAUGACGGGAGUUUGACGGUACCCAAGGAAUAAGCAACGGCUAACUCCGUGCCAGCAGCCGCGGUAAUACGGAGGUUGCAAGCGUUGUUCGGAAUGACUGGGCGUAAAGGGAGCGCAGGCGGCUGUUUAAGUCUGGAGUGAAAGCCCGGGGCUCAACCCCGGCGGGUCUUCGGAUACUGGACAGCUAGAGUACGGAAGAGGAGAGCGGAAUUCCAGGUGUAGCGGUGAAAUGCGUAGAUAUCUGGAGGAACACCGGUGGCGAAAGCGGCUCUCUGGUCCGAUACUGACGCUCAGGCUCGAAAGCGUGGGGAGCAAACGGGAUUAGAUACCCCGGUAGUCCACGCCGUAAACGUUGUGCGCUAGGUGUAGGAGGUAUCGACCCCUCCUGUGCCGCAGCUAACGCAUUAAGCGCACCGCCUGGGGAGUACGCCCGCAAGGGUGAAACUCAAAGGAAUUGACGGGGGCCCGCACAAGCGGUGGAGCAUGUGGUUUAAUUCGAGGC